rnacentral:pre_miRNA from 1 species
GAGGCAUGGAAAUCACUUGAACCCAGGAGAUGGAGGUUGCAGUGAGCCGAGAUUGUGCCACUGCACUCCAGCAUGGGCAACAAGAGCAAAACUUUGUCUCAAAAAAAGAAAAGAAACUGAGUCUUGAUCUGUGGCCCAGGCUGGAGUGCAGUGGGGCAAUCUCAGCUCACUGCAACCUCCAUCUCCUGGGUUCAAGUGAUUCUCAUGCCUC